UUAUACCACCCAGCCAAGACACCGUCUUCCCCACAACGUGCACCUACGGCCUUCCGGGGCGCCCCACAUGCAGGGGACCGAGGACAGGAAAUCCGUCCGGUGGGCGGGGCCCGGAGUGGAAGCGGCUGAGCCUUUGCCUGUUCGUGGGAAGGGGCCAGUGUCACCUCUGCCACCCAGACUGUUCCCUGAAGCCCAGGCCGUCCACCAGCUGGCACCUUGACGUGUCUCCUCUGCAUCCAGGGGCACCUUCGACGCGUCGCCUCUGCACCCAGGGGGCACAUCGAAGCCGCGGUGUCCAGACUGCACUCCUGAUGCCUCCCCCAGGCGGCUCCCUGCACGACCUCCCGCGCUUAGCUCCACAAAUGGCAACCCCCCACCCCAGGGCUCAGACCCAAGUUGGGGGCACCCUUGACUCCACACCCAUGCCUGGUUCUGUAGCAAGUGGUGCUGCCAGCUCCGCCCCCAACGCACAUCCUGACACCACGCACUCCUCACCUGGCGGUCAGGAGCUUCCUCGCUCACUCACCGUCUCCUCCGCCUCUCCUUUGCCCCAGCCCUGGGGAGGUGUUCCAGCAGCCAGAGCGGUUGCACCCCAAUAUCAUCAGCUUCUGUUCGGACCCUCCAUAGUUUUCUAUUGCUGCUAUACCAAAUUGUCACAAACUGAGUGGUGAACAACUUGAGAGACAUGGGGACCAAUGGAAAGUCCUAGAAACAUCUCUGUGUGUCCAGUUGGAGCAGAUCAUGGAAGCCCUCCCAUGAACACAGUGCCAGGCCAGGGACUGAGCAUAAGUGAGGAAGAGCGUUACAGGGUUUCCGCCCUAGAACUGGAAGAUGGUGCGCACCAGGGAGGAGGAAAGGGGCCAGGAGGCAGGGGCUUCCCUGGGACUGCCCUCCCUGCCUCCCCCGCUGACCACCCUGCAAGCCAAGAGCCGUCCACACCAGCAUCGCAAGGCCCCACAAAGCGGGGCGCACAGACAGCGUGGCUGGUGGAGCCGAGCCCACAGGGACACAGGGGGAGCCGUCUUUCUCCAGUGGCAGGUGACACACGGCUAGGACGCAGCUCACGAAGCCACGCGUCCACCCCGCGGCACCCUGGGCGGAUCAGGGCCUCUCCUGAAAUCAGAAAGUGCGCUGCGGCCUGACCGACUUCAGUCCACCCGGGUCAAAGCCUUUCCUCCCCGCCCGACAGAACCGGGGCUGGUGCCUCCGGUGGAGAAGGGGUGAAAAAUCAGCAAACAGACAUCAGUUGUUGACGCACUGGCAGCAAACCAUGGGAAAUGGGGUUUGGAAACGAGAUUUACAAAAGCGUCAAAAAUACCCAAUACCUGGGAAGCUAACAGAAAACGUGUAAGAACA